GAUGAACGCUGGCGGCGUGCCUAAUACAUGCAAGUCGAGCGAACUGACGAGGAGCUUGCUCCUUUGACGUUAGCGGCGGACGGGUGAGUAACACGUGGGUAACCUACCUAUAAGACUGGAAUAACUCCGGGAAACCGGGGCUAAUGCCGGAUAAUAUGUUGAACCGCAUGGUUCUACAGUGAAAGACGGUCUUGCUGUCACUUAUAGAUGGACCCGCGCCGCAUUAGCUAGUUGGUAAGGUAACGGCUUACCAAGGCAACGAUGCGUAGCCGACCUGAGAGGGUGAUCGGCCACACUGGAACUGAGACACGGUCCAG
rnacentral:rRNA from 1 species